UACGUAGGGUGCAAGCGUUGUCCGGAAUUAUUGGGCGUAAAGAGCUUGUAGGCGGUUUGUCGCGUCUGCUGUGAAAUUUCGGGGCUCAACCCCGAACUUGCAGUGGGUACGGGCAGACUAGAGUGUGGUAGGGGAGACUGGAAUUCCUGGUGUAGCGGUGAAAUGCGCAGAUAUCAGGAGGAACACCGGUAGUGGCGAAGGCAGGGUCUCUGGGA
rnacentral:rRNA from 1 species